rnacentral:rRNA from 1 species
CAGCAGCCGCGGUAAUACGAAGGGGGCUAGCGUUGCUCGGAAUGACUGGGCGUAAAGAGCGCGUAGGCGGCCAUUCAAGUUAGGUGUGAAAGCCCUGGGCUCAACCUAGGAAUUGCAUUUGAUACUGUUUGGCUUGAGUUCGGGAGAGGUGAGUGGAAUUCCCAGUGUAGAGGUGAAAUUCGUAGAUAUUGGGAAGAACACCAGUGGCGAAGGCGGCUCACUGGACCGACACUGACGCUGAGGCGCGAAAGCGUGGGGAGCAAACAGGAUUAGAUACCCCAGUAGUCCCUGUCUCUUAUAA